rnacentral:rRNA from 1 species
GGAAUCUUCCACAAUGGGCGAAAGCCUGAUGGAGCAACGCCGCGUGGGUGAAGAAGGUCUUCGGGUUGUAAACCGCUUUCAGCAGGGAAGAACAUCGACGGUACCUGCAGAAGAAGCCCCGGCUAACUACGUGCCAGCAGCCGCGGUAAUACGUAGGUGGCAAGCGUUAUCCGGAUUUAUUGGGCGUAAAGGGAACGCAGGCGGUCUUUUAAGUCUGAUGUGAAAGCCUUCGGCUUAACCGGAGUAGUGCAUUGGAAACUGGGAGACUUGAGUGCAGAAGAGGAGAGUGGAACUCCAUGUGUAGCGGUGAAAUGCGUAGAUAUAUGGAAGAACACCAGUGGCGAAAGCGGCUCUCUGGUCUGUAACUGACGCUGAGGUUCGAAAGCGUGGGUAGCAAACAGG